rnacentral:rRNA from 1 species
AGAACGAACGCUGGCGGCAUGCCUAACACAUGCAAGUCGAACGCUCUCUUCGGAGGGAGUGGCGCACGGGUGAGUAACGCGUGGGAACCUGCCUUGGAGUGGGGGAUAACCGAUGGAAACGUCGGCUAAUACCGCAUACGUCCUGAGGGAGAAAGAUUUAUCGCUCUGAGAGGGGCCCGCGUCGGAUUAGCUAGUUGGUGGGGUAACGGCCUACCAAGGCGAUGAUCCGUAGCUGGUCUGAGAGGAUGAUCAGCCACACUGGGACUGAGACACGGCCCAGACUCCUACGGGAGGCAGCAGUGGGGAAUAUUGGACAAUGGGCGCAAGCCUGAUCCAGCAAUGCCGCGUGAGUGAUGACGGCCUUAGGGUUGUAAAGCUCUUUCGGCGGGGACGAUGAUGACGGUACCGCAGAAGAAGCCCCGGCUAACUUCGUGCCAGCAGCCGC